GACGAACGCUGGCGGCGUGCCUAACACAUGCAAGUCGAGCGAGAAAGUCUCCUUCGGGAGAUGAGUAAAGCGGCGAACGGGUGAGUAACACGUGAGCGAUCUACCCGGCGGCGGGGGAUAACUCAGGGAAACCUGAGCUAAUACCGCAUACAGCACUGGCUUGGAAGCCGGAUGUGAAAGUUGGCCUCUCGAAGAAGCUGACACCGUCGGAUGAGCUCGCGGCCUAUCAGCUAGUUGGUGGGGUAACGGCCUACCAAGGCGAUGACGGGUAGCUGGCGUGAGAGCGUGGCCAGCCACACUGGGACUGAGACACGGCCCAGACUCCUACGGGAGGCAGCAGUGGGGAAUAUUGCGCAAUGGGCGAAAGCCUGACGCAGCGACGCCGCGUGGGGGGAGGAAGGCCCCAGGGUUGUAAACCCCUGUCAGGUGGGACGAACCACGGAUCGGUCAAUACCCGGUCCGCCUGACGGUACCACCAGAGGAAGCUCCGGCUAACUCCGUGCCAGCAGCCGCGGUAAUACGGAGGGAGCGAGCGUUGUUCGGAAUCACUGGGCGUAAAGGGCGCGUAGGCGGUCAGGUAAGUCGGGUGUGAAAUUCCGGGGCUCAACCCCGUGGACUGCACCCGAUACUGCUCGACUAGAGAGAGGUAGGGGCGAGUGGAAUUCCCGGUGUAGCGGUGGAAUGCGUAGAUAUCGGG
rnacentral:rRNA from 1 species